rnacentral:rRNA from 1 species
UACGUAGGGUGCGAGCGUUGUCCGGAAUUAUUGGGCGUAAAGAGCUCGUAGGCGGUUCGUCGCGUCGGCUGUGAAAACCUGGGGCUCAACCCCGGGCCUGCAGCCGAUACGGGCGAACUAGAAUUCGGUAGGGGAGACUGGAAUUCCUGGUGUAGCGGUGAAAUGCGCAGAUAUCAGGAGGAACACCGGUGGCGAAGGCGGGUCUCUGGGCCGAUAUUGACGCUGAGGAGCGAAAGCGUGGGGAGCAAACAGG